ACGGCUGCAGUUUUCUAUAUAGAAAAGACUCUUUUCUACGUAGAAAAGAUUCUUUUCUAUAUAGAAAAGGAACCUUGUUUUACUUAAUACUUUUUCUGCAAUAGUAUGCGCAAUCGUAGUAGUUGUAAUUGUUUUGAUUGAAGUCAUCGUCAGUUUGUUAAUAUUGUCUUAUCUGUUCAACGGAUUUCGAUCAAUCGAAAUUCCAGCGUGUAGAGAAUGAGCACAGGACUACGAAACAAUGGAAACAAUUAUGUCUACUACGAUUACACAUACUAUUGCCUCUAAAAAUGAAACGUUUUAAG